rnacentral:lncRNA from 1 species
AUGAACAAGUUGCUCUUCUUGUUUGCAGCAAUUCACAAAGAGAAACCUGAAAAAAUAGAGAAACCUGAGAAACUGAAGAAAUCUGAAAAACCCGAGAAAGUAAAAAAACCUGAAAAACCUGAAAAAGUCAAGAAACUUGAAAAACCUAAGAAACAGGAAAAAAAAGAAAAAAGGGAAGUCGCUAAAUUGCCUCCCAAAGAGAAACUUAUAAAGGAAGGAAAGUCUCAAAAGAAAGUGCCUCCUUCUCCAAAAGCAGAAGAGAAGGUGAAAGGGAAGGUGAAAACUGAACAGCAAGAAAAGAUUGAAAAAAAGGUUGCUCCAAAAGGUAUUAAAAUUUUUAUUCAUUAAGAAUUGAUUAAAUAAUUAUAAAAGUAGCUUCAGGAAUUACUGUUCUUGCUAAUCAGUAUGAUUUUCAUGGAGCAAGAAGCACUGUGGUUUUAACAAUAAUCAAAAGGUCAGUCAUUUCAAGAGCAAAGUGCUGUUCCAAUGUAUUUUUUUUGUUGUCAUUUGACUUUGACUUGUGGUGGCCGUAUAAAAUCGAAGAACUUCAAGAGCCCUGCUUUUCAGCAUUCCUACUUAGAUCUUACCAAUUUAGGCUGUGGCUUUUUUGAUUGAACUAAUCCACCUGUAGUGUCAUUUCCUCCUUUUCCUACUGCCUUUAAUUUUGCCAUCAUAUUUGGGUUAAGCCUCCGACCAUUAAUAGCCCCGGCUUGCAGUUGACCUAUGCAGCCCCAAAAGACAGUUGCAUCUGUCAAUUAGGGAAAUUUAGGGACGCUUUAUGCGGGAGGCUAAUUUAUAACACCAUAAAACUGCCAGCAAAACACGAGGAAAGGAAUGAGGAAGUACAGCCACUACUGGACGGUGAAGCAACAGCUCCCCCUGUGGCUGGAAUCGUGAAGCUGGAAAAAUGUUAAAAAUGCCUCUGAGUCUGUCUAAUGUACCGUAUUUUUCGGUUUAUAAGACGCACUCCCCCCCCCCCAAAAUAGAGGGGAAAAGUCAGUGCGUCUUAUAAACGCAAUCUGCGUCCAGGCAAGGAGAAUGGGGCGAUUUGUGCCGUGCGCGCGCGCGCACGGCCCAGGUCGCCCCAUUCUCCCUUCCUGGAUGCGUCUGCGGACGCAUCCGGGAAGGGAGAUGGGCACAUUCUCCCUUGCCUGGAUGCAGAUCUGGAUCUGCGUCCAGGCAGGGAGAAUGGGGGGAUCUGUGCCGUGCGGCGCACGCACACGGUACAGAUCCGCCCCAUUUUGCCCUUAGUUCCUGGACGCGUCUUAUCAUCAGGUGCGUCCUAUAAAGCGAAAAAUACGGUAUGUUGUUUGUCUGUUGGCAUUGAAUGUUUGCCAUAUAUGUGUUCAUUGUAAUCCGCCCUGAGUCCCCUUUGGGGUGAGAAGGGCGGAAUAUAAAUAUUGUAAAUAAAUAAAUAAAUAUUUUACAAUGAGUCACAUUGUGAUAUGUCCAAUGUACAAUAGCCUCUAUUUAGUUCUCUUCACUUUGAAUGAGACUUCUGGAUAUCCUUGUUCUAUAGCAGUGGUUCUCAACCUGUGGGUCC